AUGUGCCAACUACUGCAGAAAGAAAUAGCCUACUGCGGAAAAAUACCUCUCUUAACACAGACAAGGAGAGCAAGUCAAAGAAAUAUUCAGUAUUUUCUUGGAGACCAACCAUCCAGUUCUCAAAGAAGCCACUAGAAGACAACAGAAACCUUGGAACUGGAGUCUUAAGCAGAUCUUCACUUCAAGGAGGCUGGCAUUGACAGAAUUUAGAAGGAAGUCUGAGGGAGUAGAAGGUGGCAUUGACUGUCACCUCUUUUAAAGCUCCACCACUUUCUAAUCCACCAACAUUUGCUAAAUUACUUGCUGA